GUUAGCGGCGGACGGCGGAGUAACACGUGAAUAACCUAUCCCGAGGCGGAGGACAACCUCGAGAAAUCUUGGCUAAUACUCCAUAUUGUCCCGAAGUGACAACGCUUCAGGAUGAAAGCUGGCCUCUGUUUCAAGCUAGCACCAUGGGAGGGAUUCGCGUUCUAUCAGGUUGUUGGUGAGAUAACAGCUCACCAAGCCUAUGACGGAUAGCUGGCCUGAGAGGGCGAUCAGUCCGAGGGACACUGAGACACGGGUCCCACUCCUACGGGAGGCAGCAGGCUAGAAAUUUGGGCAAUGGUCGAAAGGCUGACCCAGCGACGCUGCGUGUGGGAUGAAGCCCCUCGGGGCGUAAACCACUUUUCAGAAGGAAGAGGGUUCAUCCGGUCAAUACCCGGAUGGAUUGACGGUACUUCUGGAAUAAGCUCUGGCUAACCCCGUGCCAGCAGCCGCGGUAAGACGGGGAGAGCAAGCGUUGCCCGGAAUCAUUGGGCUUAAAGGGGGCGUAGGCGGUUAGGUAUGUCAGACGUGUAAAUUAUCGGCUCAACUGAUAACCUGCGUUUGAAACUACCUAACUAGAGGGCGAAAGAGGAGAGCGGAACUCCCGGUGUAGCGGUGAAAUGCGUAGAUAUCGGGGGGAACACCAGCAGCGAAGGCGGCUCUCUGGUUCGAUCCUGACGCUGAGGCCCGAAAGCCAGGGUAGCGAAGGGAAUUAGAUACUCCCGUAGUCCUGGCUGUAAACGAUGAGCACUUGGUGUGGGGGGUUUAACCCUCUGUGCCGUAGGGAAACCGUUAAGUGCUCCGCCUGGGAAGUACGCUCGCAAGGGUGAAACUCAAAGGAAUUGACGGGAGCCCGCACAAGCGGUGGAGCGCGUGGUUCAAUUCGAUGGUAACCGAAGAACCUUACCCGGAUUUGACAUGCUAGUAGUACUGAACCGAAAGGGGAUGGAGUUCCUUCGGGAACAGCUAGCACAGGUGUUGCACGGCUGUCGUCAGCUCGUGCCGUGAGGUGUUAGGUUAAGUCCUGCAACGAGCGCAACCCUUGCCCUUGGUUGCCAUCAGCAGGUAUAUCCUGGCUGGGCACUCGAAGGGGACCGCCGGCGAUGAGCCGGAGGAAGGUGAGGGCGACGUCAAGUCUGUGUGGCCUUUAUGUCCGGGGCUACACACGCGCUACAAUGGGCGGUACAGAGGGUAGCUAAGCCGCGAGGCCAUGCCAAUCCUUAAAACCGCUCUCAGUUCGGAUUGCAGGCUGCAACUCGCCUGCAUGAAGGCGGAAUCGCUAGUAAUCACCAAUCAGCUAAGUGGUGGUGAAUACGUUCCCGGGCUUUGUACACACCGCCCGUCACGCCAUGGAAGCCAGGGGCACCUAAAGUCGUCAUUCCUAACCCGCAAGGGGGGGAAACGCCUAGGGUGAAUUUGGUAACUGGGGCGAAGUCGUAACAAGGUAACC
rnacentral:rRNA from 1 species